AUUGAACGCUGGCGGCAUGCCUUACACAUGCAAGUCGAACGGCAGCGCGGACUUCGGUCUGGCGGCGAGUGGCGAACGGGUGAGUAAUACAUCGGAACGUACCCUGUUGUGGGGGAUAACUAGUCGAAAGAUUAGCUAAUACCGCAUACGACCUGAGGGUGAAAGUGGGGGACCGCAAGGCCUCACGCAGCAGGAGCGGCCGAUGUCUGAUUAGGUAGUUGGUGGGGUAAAGGCCCACCAAGGCGACGGUCAGUAGCUGGUCUGAGAGGACGAUCAGCCACACUGGGACUGAGACACGGCCCAGACUCCUACGGGAGGCAGCAGUGGGGAAUUUUGGACAAUGGGGGCAACCCUGAUCCAGCAAUGCCGCGUGUGUGAAGAAGGCCUUCGGGUUGUAAAGCACUUUUGUCCGGAAAGAAAUCGCGCUGGUUAAUACCUGGCGUGGAUGACGGUACCGGAAGAAUAAGCACCGGCUAACUACGUGCCAGCAGCCGCCGUAA
rnacentral:rRNA from 1 species